rfam:TPA: Bos taurus chromosome 3, whole genome shotgun sequence.
UCCCUGGUGGCUCAGAGGGUAAAGUGCCUGCCUGCAAUGCGGGAGACCUGGGUUCGAUCCCUGGGUCGGGAA